rnacentral:misc_RNA from 1 species
CAUCAGAAAUCCCGCUUCAUAUGGUGAGUAAUCAACUGAACAUUUCUUCUAAUUUUCUUUUAAUGCUGUCUAAUUAUAAUUAGCCAUCAUGAAUCCUGAAAACAUAUAUAUCUCACUGUCUGCAUUUAAUUAAAUAAGUAAUUAACUGAAUAUAUCUUCUAAUUUUCCGUUAAUGCUGUUUAAUUAUAAUUAGUCAUCUUGAAUCCUGAAGACAUAUAUAUCUCACUGCCUGCAUUUAAUUUAAUAGUCAUUAGUAAACGGGAGAAAUUUUAGAAUCCACGUUCAUCGAUUUUGUUAGAGUCAUUAAGUAUGGUAAGUCUCAUAUAAGUUUCACCAUAAUUAACCAUCAAAAUCUAUCAUCGUAUUUGCAUAACAAUUUCUCCGGGUGUGGUUAUGGUGGUGGUAGAUGGAUAUAUUUAAUGAGUUCACACAUUAAUAUACAGCUAGGUGAAUACUCGCAUGCGUGUUUAAUUUUCAUUUGCUGAAAUAUUGGAAACAUUUAGACUAUGGAGUUUUCCAAGUUAUGUGGAGAAAUUGUUUUAAAACUGUAGCCAAUAGUCCAACAAUUGUUCUUUUCAACUAUUCCAACAGUAUUCAGAUAUUAUGGUUUAAAAACAGUAAUCAAGCGUUCAUUAGACACGUUAAACUUCAUUUUUGAGUCUUCACCUAUUAAUUUAAUAUUUAGUUACUUAUCUCAAGAAUUAGCUUGCUUAAUUAGUUUAUAAUAAUUAUGUUUGUUUCUCACUUUGUGUCAAAGCCAAAUUAAAUUUAAAAAAAAAAAGUUGAUAUUUUGAGACAUAGGCCAAACAUUUUCAUAAUGUAAAAAAUUUUAAAAAAAAAACUAUGGAAAUCUUAUAUUUAAAAAAAAAUUUGAAAUAAAAAAGGAAAAUUAAAAAUGGUGGUCUAAUAUUGGUCGGAAUAAAUGUAUAUAUGCAGGAUUUGACGAGACAUCAGUGGCA